GUGGAUUAGAUACCCUGGUAGUCCACGCCGUAAACGAUGAGUACUAGGUGUAGGGGGGUACCACCCCCUGUGCCGCAGUUAACACAUUAAGUACUCCGCCUGGGAAGUACGAUCGCAAGAUUAAAACUCAAAGGAAUUGACGGGGGCCCGCACAAGCAGCGGAGCAUGUGGUUUAAUUCGAAGCAACGCGAAGAACCUUACCAGGACUUGACAUCCAAAGAAUCCACAAGAGAUUGAGGAGUGCCCUUCGGGGAACUUUGAGACAGGUGGUGCACGGCUGUCGUCAACU
rnacentral:rRNA from 1 species